AGUUUUUGAUCGCGGUAACUUUUGCUUGCUUUAAGGUUUGGUGUUAAAUAAUUCUGAAAAAUGUAUCCUAUUUAGCUUUCCCACACCUUUCAAGUCUGUGGCUAAAUAAUCAUAAAAAAUGGUUUCAGUUACUGACAACGAGUAUUGCAGCAAGUUUAUGAAGGAUCUUUGGAAGCAGGCAAAAGAGGGAACGACUACAGACACUGUGUUAGGAUUUGAAGGAUUUUCUUUGAACGUUCAUUCCUGUGUUUUAAAGAUUGCUUCCUACACACUUUUGAAGAAGUUUACUGUUAAUGA